UUGACUCACGCGGGAAUCUUACCGGGUCCGGACACAUUGAGGAUUGACAGAUAUAUUCACUUUUUAGUGGGAAAGAUGCUAGUUCUUUCAUGAUUAUGUGAUAGGUGGUGCAUGGCCGUUCUUAGUUCGUGGAGUGAUCUGUCUGCUUAAUUGCGUUUCACUUAAAAAUAUAUUUUAUUCACCCAGUGAAUAAUUUAUAAAAUAGAAAGCAACGAACGUGAUCGUUGUCUUUUAUUGUGUGUACUUGAUAAACACACACAAAUAUAUAUUAAAUUAAAGAGACCGCUGUAUUUUCUUUUAAACCAGAGGAAGGUAACGGCAAUAACAGG
rnacentral:rRNA from 1 species